rfam:Triticum urartu cultivar G1812 contig970779, whole genome shotgun sequence.
UAACUACUCCCUCCAUUCAGAAAUACUUGUCCUAGAAAUAGUUGUAUCUAUACUUGUUUUAGUUCUAGAUACAACCAAUUCUAAUACAAGUAUUUCCGAACAGAGGGAGUAUUAG